rnacentral:lncRNA from 1 species
GAAGAUAAGAGAUAAGGGGGGGAGGAAGAUAAGAGAUAAGGGGGAGAAGAAGAGAGAGGGAGAGGGAUAGAGAGAGAGAGUAAAAGAUAUGGUAUGGAGAAGCCCACACAUGUGCUUUGAAUUUUUCAUUUUGUAGAGGUGGGUGAGCCUGUCGUCCACUCCUGGAAAUUAAUUUCUAGGAGAGGAUGAUGGGUACCCCACCUUUGGAAUUAGAGUCAUUUCCAGGGUGGACAAUGGGGUGAUCCGAACAUGAGAUAUUUUUAGGAUGGGUCAUCCCGUCGUCCACCCCUAGGAAUUUCUUCUAUUUUUAGGAGCGGGUCACCCCAUGACCUGCUC